rnacentral:lncRNA from 1 species
UUUAGGGUUUAGGGUUUAGAGUUGAGAAAUGAGGUUUUGGGGAUAAGAUUUCAAAUUUUGAAAAAUAAAAAAAUUAAAAUUUACACAGGAUAAACUUAGAAAUGUGCUAUUUUGAUCAUUUUAGUUUUUGAGUGCUAUUUUUGUGAUAUAAACUUAGAAAAAUGCUAUUUUGGAGAUUUGCCCAUUUUGUUUUGCAACUAUGUGUGUUAUAGAUUAAUUUUGGUAAAAGUGCUAUAGAACUCUCUUAUAAAGUUCACAAGUACUUUGACAACAAAAAGUAAUACAUUACGUUUUGCUGAUUUUAUUAUUCUUGAUUAAUAAAAUUAUAUUUGACGUUAAAAUUUAUAAUUUCACGUUGAAAUAUUGUUUUUCUGAAUUUAGUUUCAAUUUGGAGAAAAGGAAACACUCACUAUACAAAUAACAUUAUAUUUAUAUCAUUCACUUAU